rnacentral:rRNA from 1 species
GACAGAGGGUGCAAACGUUGUUCGGAAUUACUGGGCGUAAAGCGCGCGCAGGCGGUUCUUUAAGUCAGGGGUGAAAGCCCAGAGCUCAACUCUGGAAUUGCCUUUGAAACUAGAGAACUUGGGUACGGGAGAGGUGAGUGGAAUUCCGAGUGUUGAGGUGAAAUUCGUAGAUAUUCGGAAGAACACCAGUGGCGAAGGCGGCUCACUGGCCCGUUACCGACGCUCAGGCGCGACAGCGUGGGGAGCAAACAGG